AGAUAUAAAAAUUUUAUUUGCAAUAAAAACAUAUAGUACUCUAUUAUAUCUA
rnacentral:tRNA from 1 species